rnacentral:rRNA from 1 species
UUAAAAAGCUCGUAGUUGGAUUUCGGGAUGGCCCGGCCGGUCCGCCGCAAGGUGUGUUUACUGGCCGAGCUGUUCUUCUUCGCAAAGACCGUGUGUGCUCUUAACUGAGUGUGCUCGGGAUCUGCGACGUUUACUUUGAAAAAAUUAGAGUGUUCAAAGCAAGCCAGCGCUUGAAUACAUAAGCAUGGAAUAAUGGAAUAGGACUUUGGUUCUAUUUUGUUGGUUUCUGGAGCCGAAGUAAUGAUUAAGAGGGACAGUUGGGGGCAUUCGUAUUUCGUUGUCAGAGGUGAAAUUCUUGGAUUUACGAAAGACGAACUACUGCGAAAGCAUUUGCCAAGAAUGUUUUCAUUAAUCAAGAACGAAAGUUAGAGGAUCGAAGACGAUCAGAUACCGUCCUAGUUCUAACCAUAAACGAUGCCAACUAGGGAUCAGAGGGUGUUAUUGGAUGACCCCUUUGGCACCUUAUGGGAAACCAAAGUUUUUGGGUUCCGGGGGAAGUAUGGUUGCAAAGCUGAAACUUAAAGGA